AUGGAGAGCAGGGGUGGACAGUGGGAAGCAGUGCGUCUCCUCCACCCGCUGGCUGCCACCGUCCAGGUCCCCUCACUCACGGUGGAGAGGCUACGGCGGAGGGGAUGCAUAGGACGAGCGGGGCUCGCAGAGGAGGAGAGCACGUGGCCAAGGGAGGCCGUGGAGGAGGAGGCGCCGCGGUGGCGGGAGCUCGCGAUGGAGGAGGAGAUUCCGUGGCGGUGGAACGGAGCUUGCGUAUGUGUGGAGUGCGCUCGGAAGGAGAGUGUGCGGCGGCGGAGGGGCUGGGGAGGCCGGGCCCGAAUCACUAAAGUAGCAGGGGAGGCCGGACGAGGGCGGCGCGGUGUCCUGUGGCCAUGGUGGCCGGAGGGGCGGCGCAAAGUCGCUGCCUCAGCUUCCACCCCGACCCUUUUAGUCACGCGCGGUGGCCGGUGGACCUGGGUGAGCAGGCUAGGCAGGAUCUUAAUGGUUAGUGGAGGAGCAGGGAAGGCCAGCGACAUGGGGGAGGAGCAGGCCGGGGAGAGGCCAGCGUCGGGGACAAGCAGCAGCAGGGCCAGUGGUCCCGCCGCGGUGAGGUGGAUGGAGAGGGAGGAGUCGGCGACGGGAGAAAGAGCAGGCCGGCCCUGA
rnacentral:rRNA from 1 species